AUUCCAGCUCCAAUAGCGUAUAUUAAAGUUGUUGCAGUUAAAAAGCUCGUAGUUGAACCUUGGACAAAGUGCGCGUGGUCUACCGCAAGGUACGACUGCGGCGCUGCGUCUCUUUAGGGGGACUCGAUGCUUCGGUGUCGAGGUAACCCGUGUUACUGUGAAGAAAUUAGAGUGUUCAAAGCAGGCCUAUGCUCUGAAUAGGUUAGCAUGGAAUAAUAGAAUAGGACUUUGGUUCUAUUUUGUUGGUUUCUAGGACCGAAGUAAUGAUUAAUAGGGACAGUUGGGGCAUUCAUAUUCCAUUGUCAGAGGUGAAAUUCUUGGAUUAACGGAAGAUGAACUUCUGCGAAAGCAUCUGCCAAGGAUGUUUUCAUCA
rnacentral:rRNA from 1 species